AGAGUUUGAUUCUGGCUCAGAACGAACGCUAGCGGCAGGCCUAACACAUGCAAGUCGAGGGGCAGCGGGGAUAAGCUUGCUUAUCCGCCGGCGACCGGCGCACGGGUGCGCAACGCGUAUAGAAUCUGCCCUGUACUGGGGAAUAGCCCAGAGAAAUUUGGAUUAAUGCCCCAUGGUAUGUUUAAGCGGCAUCGCUUUUACAUUAAAGGCUACGGUACAGGAUGACUAUGCGUCCCAUUAGUUAGUUGGUAAGGUAACGGCUUACCGAGGCAGCGAUGGGUAGGGGCCCUGAGAGGGGGAUCCCCCACACUGGUACUGAGACACGGACCAGACUCCUACGGGAGGCAGCAGUGAGGAAUAUUGGACAAUGGGCGGGAGCCUGAUCCAGCCAUGCCGCGUGCAGGAAGACGGUCCUAUGGAUUGUAAACUGCUUUUGUACGGGAAGAACAAGGGGCACGUGUGCCCUUCUGACGGUACCGUAAGAAUAAGGAUCGGCUAACUCCGUGCCAGCAGCCGCGGUAAUACGGAGGAUCCGAGCGUUAUCCGGAAUCAUUGGGUUUAAAGGGUCCGUAGGCGGGCCAUUAAGUCAGGGGUGAAAGUCUGCGGCUCAACCGUAGAAUUGCCCUUGAUACUGGUGGUCUUGAGUUAUGGUGAAGUAACUAGAAUAUGUAGUGUAGCGGUGAAAUGCAUAGAUAUUACAUAGAAUACCGAUUGCGAAGGCAGGUUACUAACCAUAUACUGACGCUGAUGGACGAAAGCGUGGGGAGCGAACAGGAUUAGAUACCCUGGUAGUCCACGCCGUAAACGAUGGAUACUAGCUGUCCGGAUGCAAAUCUGGGCGGCCAAGCGAAAGUGAUAAGUAUCCCACCUGGGGGAGUACGUCCGCAAGGAUGAAACUCAAAUGAAUUGACGG
rnacentral:rRNA from 1 species